GGGCUACCGGAAACACCUGCGGCACCAGAGCGCCAAGCUGCUGCUGCGGGUGCGCACGCUGCAUUUCCUGCGGCACGAGGUGAUCGGGGACCAGGCGGAGCGCGUGCUGGCCGGGGCCAGCGCCAGGGUACGAGCGGUACCACACGAUGCGGGCAGACCCC